ensembl:lncRNA
UGUUCUUUAUGUUGCAGUGAGCUGUAAAUGGGACUAAUAUCUGGAUUUGCAGGAAACUGAUUGACUGAUUAGACACAUGGUGUUUCAGCAACACCUGCUCGGUGUCUUCACACCUCUCGACUUCCCUGCCUAGUGCACAACAUGGAACGAGCGUCUGGUGAUCUGGUGCUGUCUAUGUAGGGAGCGAAGCGUUGAUUUGAGCCGCGGCCGUGAGACACUGUCUGACUGACCUGACCCAGGAGACGCUCGCAUAUUGAGUAAGUGGUGGUUAUUAUAGUGUGAAGAAUGUGAUAGUGACUCAUUUACACAACACUAUGAGGGCAACAGGACAGUGUUGUGU